GUCGUAACAAGGUUUCCGUAGGUGAACCUGCGGAAGGAUCAUUACGGUGCAUCCGACCCACACGUGAACUGUUGAAAGGUGACAUGGUGUUUGGUUUCACGAUCAAGACCGGUCACCGCCCCUUCUUCCACACACACGAACAAUCGAGCUGAAGCGAUGGGGUAGCGGGCUUUUACAGACCGCUGCCUUUAACCGUGACAACUCUCAACAACGGAUGUCUUGGCUCUCGCAACGAUGAAGAACGCAGCGAAAUGCGAUACGUAGUGUGAUUUGCACUGUACGUGAACCAUCGAAUCUUUGAACGCAUAUUGCACUCGAGGCUUCGGCCAAGAGUAUGCCUGCCUGAGCGUCAGUGUGUACCCUCAUACCAAUUAAUUUUGGGAUGGAAAUGGACGUCCGAUCGGAGCCUGCGAAGGUUUCGAUGGGUCGGCUGAAAGGCAGUCGCGGUGCGACCGAUCGCACGAUCAGCGUGGUAGACCUAUUCAUAGGACGGAUCGCUCGGUCAGAUCGGUAACACUUCGAUCCGAAUACUGGUGCGUGUCUCGACUCCGCGGGCCCUCGCGGCUGGUGGAAUAAGAGCCGUGCCAUCUCACCUUUUGACCUCAGUUCAGACAAGGCUACCCGCCGAAUUUAAGCAUAUUACUAAGCGGAGGAAAAGAAAAUAACAAUGAUUCCCCUAGUAACGGCGAGCGAACCGGGAAGAGCCCAACUUGAAAAUCUGGAGGCUUGUCCUUCCGAAUUGUAGUCUAGAGAAGUGCCAUCUGCGGCUGGCUGGUCGAAAGUUCCCUGGAAAGGGACGUCAGAGAGGGUGAGAGCCCCGUCACGAUCGGUUAAGUCGCUCCACGAUGCGCUUUCGAGGAGUCGGGUUGUUUGGGAAUGCAGCCCUAAGCGGGAGGUAAAUUCCUUCUAAGGCUAAAUAUUGGCGAGAGACCGAUAGCGAACAAGUACCGCGAGGGAAAGAUGAAAAGACCUUUGAAAAGAGAGUUAAAAAGUACCUGAAAUUGUUGAGGGGGAAGCGAUUGAAACCAGCGGGUGCUCCUCGGGUAGGGUCAAACCACACGCCGAGGGCUGGUCAACGUGGGUUAGUCGGGCGGGAUAUUACGCUUGAUUGACCGAGGACUCGACGUUGGCAGAAUGGUUUCAAUCGGCCCGUCUAGAAACACGGACCAAGGAGUCUAACAUGUGUGCGAGUCGGUGGGUGACAAACCCACGAGGCGCAAGUAACCUGACUGAGCAAAUUCGACCGACCAUGAUCUUCUGUGAAAGGUUUGAGUGCGAGCAUACAUGCUGGGACCCGAAAGAUGGUGAACUAUGCGUGAA
rnacentral:rRNA from 1 species